rnacentral:rRNA from 1 species
UACGUAGGGGGCAAGCGUUGUCCGGAUUUAUUGGGCGUAAAGAGCCGUGUAGGCGGCCAGGUAGGUCUGCUGUGAAAACUCGAGGCUCAACCUCGAGACGUCGGCGGAAACCAUCUGGCUAGAGUCCGGAAGAGGAGAGUGGAAUUCCUGGUGUAGCGGUGAAAUGCGCAGAUAUCAGGAAGAACACCCGUGGCGAAGGCGGCUCUCUGGGACGGUACUGACGCUGAGACGCGAAAGCGUGGGGAGCGAACAGG